UUGCUAUCUGCGAUAUGGAAGAUUCGAACCUGCCGCAGGUUCGGGUCGAACGCAGUGAGACAACGGAGCCGUUUACGGCGACGGCCCGAAGGGCGAGCGAAGCGAGUCAUCCUGCA
rnacentral:sRNA from 3 species